rnacentral:rRNA from 2 species
CCCCCCGCGCGCGCCCCGGGCGGGGCGGGGGCACGGGGGGAACGCGAAGAACCUUACCAGGUCUUGACAUAUUAUGCAAAUCUAAGAGAUUAGACGUUCCCUUCGGGGACAGGGAUACAGGUGGUGCAUGGUUGUCGUCAGCUCGUGUCGUGAGAUGUUGGGUUAAGUCCCGCAACGAGCGCAACCCUUAUUAUCAGUUGCCAGCAUUAAGUUGGGCACUCUGGUGAGACUGCCGGUGACAAACCGGAGGAAGGUGGGGAUGACGUCAAAUCAUCAUGCCCCUUAUGACCUGGGCUACACACGUGCUACAAUGGAUGGUACAACGAGUUGCGAACUCGCGAGGGUAAGCUAAUCUCUUAAAGCCAUUCUCAGUUCGGAUUGUAGGCUGCAACUCGCCUACAUGAAGUCUGGAAUCGCUAGUAAUCGCGGAUCAGCAUGCCC